rnacentral:rRNA from 1 species
UACAGAGGGUGCGAGCGUUAAUCGGAAUUACUGGGCGUAAAGCGCGCGUAGGCGGCUUUGCAAGUCGGGUGUGAAAUCCCCAGGCUUAACCUGGGAACUGCAUUCGAGACUGCAUUGCUAGAGUAUGGGAGAGGGAAGUGGAAUUUCCGGUGUAGCGGUGAAAUGCGUAGAUAUCGGAAGGAACAUCAGUGGCGAAAGCGGAUCUCUGGGCCUUACCUGACGCUGAGGCGCGAAAGCUAGGGGAGCGAACAGG